AGCGAACGCUGGCGGCAGGCUUAACGCAUGCAAGUCGAGCGGGCCUUUCGGGGUCAGCGGCGGACGGGUGAGUAACGCGUGGGAACGUGCCCUCUGGUUCGGAAUAACUCAGGGAAACUUGAGCUAAUACCGGAUACGCCCUUUUGGGGAAAGGCUUGCUGCCGGAGGAUCGGCCCGCGUCUGAUUAGCUAGUUGGUGAGGUAACGGCUCACCAAGGCGACGAUCAGUAGCUGGUCUGAGAGGAUGAUCAGCCACACUGGGACUGAGACACGGCCCAGACUCCUACGGGAGGCAGCAGUGGGGAAUAUUGGACAAUGGGCGCAAGCCUGAUCCAGCCAUGCCGCGUGAGUGAUGAAGGCCUUAGGGUUGUAAAGCUCUUUUAUCCGGGACGAUACUGACGGUACCGGAGGAAUAAGCCCCGGCUAACUUCGUG
rnacentral:rRNA from 1 species